AAAAAUCAAGGAAAUGGCAAACUGAUCAGCUUCCUUCUAAGUCCCACACUUCCCUCCUCUGCACCUAAUUAUCUUCCUAUCCUCCUCCUUAACCUUGUUAGCUGCUCUGCUUUAACAGAGGGCAAUGCUGUCGGGAAAUAUAGAACGCUGUUCGUCUUCGGGGACUAGCUGUUCGAUCCUGGGAACAACCAGUACUUGAACACUUUGAAUGGCGCGGACCCGACAACCUCGUUUCCCAAUGGCAAAGUCUUAUUUCCAUCGGGGUACUGGCAGGGGCUUCGAUGGCUGUCUAGUCCCGGAUUUCAUUGCUCAAUUUGCUAGGUUGCCUUUAAUCCCACCUUACUUGCAACCCGGAGCUCGCCAGUUUACCUGAUGGGGCAAGCUUUGCUUCGGGUGGUGCCUGCGUUCUCCCUAGCAGCCAUGGCAGAUCGAUUGAUCUGUCGACGCAGCUGAGCUACUUCAAGGAGGUGGAAGAGUCGCUUAGGGAGAAGUAUGGAGUUGCAGGGGCAAGAAAUGUGCUGGGAAGUGCGGUUUAUUUGUUCAGCGUCGGAGGCAAUGACUACGUACAGUUUUACAUGUCGAAGCCAAAUGCCACUCAGUCCGAUCGAAGGGCUUACGUAGGGGAAGUAGUUGGCAAUAUCACGGCCGUGUUAAGCGAGAUAUACAGGUUGGGAGGAAGGAAGAUUGGGUUCUAGAACGUCGGGCCCAUAGGGUGUCUCCCGGGGGAGCACGUAAAGAGCCCGAACGCUAGCAAAUGGUGCGCCAAGAAGCUCCUGGCGCACUCCCGGCUCCACAAUAGGAUGCUGGCCAUUGCCCUCAGGAAGUUAGAGGGCUAACCGCCCGGAUUCAAGUACUCCAUCUUUGAUUACUACAACUCCCUCAAAGACAAAAUCUUCAAUCCUUCAAAAUAUGGUUUCAACUUUCAAGGAUGGGCAGGGGGUUUGUGGCAGGAGUGGGCCCUACAGAGCAAUGGGCUGUGGUAGUGGGGCCGGCAACGUGGUUCGAUGGGGGCCACAAAACCCACAGAACCAAUUACCAGUUAGCUCAGGUCAUGUGGAGUGGGCCCUCCUCUGUCACCGCCCCGUACAACCUCGGGCAGCUCUUUGUGAAUUAAUUAAUACAAAAAAGUUCUUCCCUUCAAUACUGAAGUGUCUUUCGUUUCUCAUGUGGA